rnacentral:rRNA from 1 species
AGGUUAAGUGAAUAAGGGCGCACGGUGGAUGCCUUGGCACUAGGAGCCGAUGAAGGACGGGACUAACACCGAUAUGCUUUGGGGAGCUGUACGUAAGCUAUGAUCCAGAGAUUUCCGAAUGGGGGAACCCAACAUCUUUAAUAGGAUGUUACGAUUGUGUGAAUACAUAGCACAUUCGAGGUAGACGCAGAGAACUGAAACAUCUAAGUACCUGCAGGAAGAGAAAGAAAAUUCGAUUCCCUGAGUAGCGGCGAGCGAAACGGGAAAAGCCCAAACCAGCAAGCUUGCUUGUUGGGGUUGUAGGACUCCAAUAUGGUAGUUCUUUCAGAUAGUCGAAUGACUUGGAAAAGUCAGUCAAAGAGGGUAAAAACCCCGUAGACGAAAUGUGGAAGACACCUAGGAGGAUCCUGAGUACGGCGGAACACGAGAAAUUCCGUCGGAAUCCGGGAGGACCAUCUCCCAAGGCUAAAUACUCCCUAGUGACCGAUAGUGAACCAGUACCGUGAGGGAAAGGUGAAAAGCACCCCGGAAGGGGAGUGAAAUAGAACCUGAAACCGUGUGCCUACAACAAGUCAAAGCCCGUUAAUGGGUGAUGGCGUGCCUUUUGUAGAAUGAACCGGCGAGUUACGAUUGCAUGCGAGGUUAAGUUGAAGAGACGGAGCCGCAGCGAAAGCGAGUCUGAAUAGGGCGUUUGAGUAUGUAGUCGUAGACCCGAAACCAUGUGAUCUACCCAUGUCCAGGUUGAAGGUGCGGUAAAACGCACUGGAGGACCGAACCCACGUACGUUGAAAAGUGCGGGGAUGAGGUGUGGGUAGCGGAGAAAUUCCAAACGAACUUGGAGAUAGCUGGUUCUCUCCGAAAUAGCUUUAGGGCUAGCCUCGGAAUUGAGAAUGAUGGAGGUAGAGCACUGUUUGGACUAGGGGCCCAUCUCGGGUUACCGAAUUCAGAUAAACUCCGAAUGCCAUUCAUUCAUAUCCGGGAGUCAGACUGUGAGUGAUAAGAUCCAUAGUCGAAAGGGAAACAGCCCAGACCACCAGCUAAGGUCCCAAAAUAUAUGUUAAGUGGAAAAGGAUGUGGGGUUGCACAGACAACUAGGAUGUUGGCUUAGAAGCAGCCACNNNNNNNNNNNNNNNNNNNNNNNNNNNNNNNNNNNNNNNNNNNNNNNNNNNNNNNNNNNNNNNNNNNNNNNNNNNNNNNNNNNNNNNNNNNNNNNNNNCAAAUGCUUCUUUUCUUAAGGACAAGCUGUGAUGGGGAGGGAAAUAAUAGUACCGAAGUUCCUGAUGUCACACUGCCGAGAAAAGCUUCUAGUGAGAAAACAGCGGCCCGUACCGCAAACCGACACAGGUAGUCGAGGAGAGAAUCCUAAGGUGAGCGAGAGAACUCUCGUUAAGGAACUCGGCAAAAUGACCCCGUAACUUCGGGAGAAGGGGUGCUGAUCAUACGAUCAGCCGCAGUGAAUAGGCCCAAGCGACUGUUUAUCAAAAACACAGGUCUCUGCAAAAUCGUAAGAUGAAGUAUAGGGGCUGACGCCUGCCCGGUGCUGGAAGGUUAAGAGGAGUGCUUAGCGCAAGCGAAGGUACGAAUUGAAGCCCCAGUAAACGGCGGCCGUAACUAUAACGGUCCUAAGGUAGCGAAAUUCCUUGUCGGGUAAGUUCCGACCCGCACGAAAGGCGUAACGAUUUGGGCACUGUCUCAACGAGAGACUCGGUGAAAUUUUAGUACCUGUGAAGAUGCAGGUUACCCGCGACAGGACGGAAAGACCCCAUGGAGCUUUACUGUAGUUUGAUAUUGAGUGUCUGUACCGCAUGUACAGGAUAGGUAGGAGCCGUAGAAAUCGGAACGCUAGUUUCGAUGGAGGCGCUGGUGGGAUACUACCCCUGCGUUAUGGCCACUCUAACCCGCACCACUAAUCGUGGUGGGAGACAGUGUCAGAUGGGCAGUUUGACUGGGGCGGUCGCCUCCUAAAAGGUAACGGAGGCGCCCAAAGGUUCCCUCAGAAUGGUUGGAAAUCAUUCGAAGAGUGUAAAGGCAGAAGGGAGCUUGACUGCGAGACCAACAAGUCGAGCAGGGACGAAAGUCGGGCUUAGUGAUCCGGUGGUUCCGCAUGGAAGGGCCAUCGCUCAACGGAUAAAAGCUACCCUGGGGAUAACAGGCUUAUCUCCCCCAAGAGUCCACAUCGACGGGGAGGUUUGGCACCUCGAUGUCGGCUCGUCGCAUCCUGGGGCUGUAGUCGGUCCCAAGGGUUGGGCUGUUCGCCCAUUAAAGCGGCACGCUAGCUGGGUUCAGAACGUCGUGAGACAGUUCGGUCCCUAUCCGUCGCGGGCGUUGGAAAUUUGAGAGGAGCUGUCCUUAGUACGAGAGGACCGGGAUGGACUUACCGCUGGUGUACCAGUUGUUCUGCCAAGGGCAUUGCUGGGUAGCUAUGUAGGGAAGGGAUAAACGCUGAAAGCAUCUAAGUGUGAAGCCCACCUCAAGAUGAGAUUUCCCAUUUCUUUAAGAAAGUAAGAUCCCUGAGAGAUGAUCAGGUAGAUAGGUCAGGAGUGGAAGUACAGUGAUGUAUGGAGCGGACUGAUACUAAUCGAUCGAGGACUUAACCAAU